rnacentral:misc_RNA from 1 species
AAGUCGUAACAAGGUUUCCGUAGGUGAACCUGCGGAAGGAUCAUUACAGAGUUCAUGCCCUCUGGGGUAGAUCUCCCACCCGUGAAUACAUACCUUUGUUGCUUUGGCGGACACCCCUCCAGGGGUAGCUUCGGUUACUUGCGCCGCCAGAGGACCAAAACUCGUUUAUUUAGUGAUGUCUGAGUACUAUAUAAUAGUUAAAACUUUCAACAACGGAUCUCUUGGUUCUG